rnacentral:rRNA from 1 species
AAUCAACGCUGGCGGCGUGCCUCAGACAUGCAAGUCGAACGAUUAAAGCUCUCUUCGGAGAGUGUAUAGAGUGGCGCACGGGUGAGUAACACGUAAGUAAUCUACCUUUGAGUGGGGAAUAACCCGGGGAAACCCGAGCUAAUACCGCAUAAUGCAGCGGCACCGCAAGGUGACAGUUGUUAAAGGAGCAAUCCGCUUAAAGAGGAGCUUGCGGCAGAUUAGCUAGNGGUAAGGUAAUGGCUUACCAAGGCUUCGAUCUGUAUCCGGCCUGAGAGGGCGGUCGGACACACUGACACUGAAUAACGGGUCAGACUCCUACGGGAGGCAGCAGUCGGGAAUUUUGGGCAAUGGGCGAAAGCCUGACCCAGCAACGCCGCGUGAAGGAUGAAGUAUUUCGGUAUGUAAACUUCGAAAGAAUGGGAAGAAUCAAUGACGGUACCAUUUAUAAGGUCCGGCUAACUACGUGCCAG